UUGGCAUAGCUGGUGGUUGCUUGAAUUUCAAGAGGAAAGUCCGAGCUGCUAUGAAACAAAGUUCCAUCUAACAGAUGGCCAGGGCAACCUGAGGGAAAGUGCAACAGAGAGAAGUCAGCCUUAAAGGUGAUGGUGAAAGGGUGGAGUAAGAGCCCACCAGUAUCAAAGGUAACUUUGAUAGCUAUGUAAACCCAGCUUGCAGCAAGAAGGGAUGGUUUUGUUUCAUGUUUGAACCCUUCGCUUGAGCAUCUUGGUAACAUGGUGCCUAGAUAAAUAGCCACCCACGACAGAACUCGGCUUACGCUAUGCCAAUUUC
rnacentral:RNase_P_RNA from 1 species